GCCAUCCCAGUGCUCAGACUACCUGCUCAGGAGACUGGGACAUGUACAGUAGUCUGCAUAUUGGUUAGGC
rnacentral:pre_miRNA from 1 species